CCUACGGGCUGCAGCAGUGGGGAAUAUUGCACAAUGGGCGCAAGCCUGAUGCAGCCAUGCCGCGUGUAUGAAGAAGGCCUUCGGGUUGUAAAGUACUUUCAGCGAGGAGGAAGGCGUUAAGGUUAAUAACCUUGGCGAUUGACGUUACUCGCAGAAGAAGCACCGGCUAACUCCGUGCCAGCAGCCGCGGUAAUACGGAGGGUGCAAGCGUUAAUCGGAAUUACUGGGCGUAAAGCGCACGCAGGCGGUCUGUCAAGUCGGAUGUGAAAUCCCCGGGCUCAACCUGGGAACUGCAUUCGAAACUGGCAGGCUAGAGUCUUGUAGAGGGGGGUAGAACUCCAGGUGUAGCGGUGAAAUGCGUAGAGAUCUGGAGGAAUACCGGUGGCGAAGGCGGCCCCCUGGACAAAGUCUGACGCUCAGGUGCGAAAGCGUGGGGAGCAAACAGGAUUAGAUACCCCGGUAGUC
rnacentral:rRNA from 1 species